AUUCUGUAAGGACAUCAAUACUGAUGGGUAUGUGUAUACGUGACAAUAUGAGCGUUUUAAAUUUUAUUUUGAUUGAAAACUGUAGUUUUGAAGAACACAAGUGAGGAUCUCUGGAGCUUGAUGUAUCCAUCAAGUUCAUCCAUCAAGUUCAUGACGAGCAACCCCCGAACUCAGUCGCGUGCUCCAUGGACCCGAAUAUCCUGUACUCUUGCAUCUAGGCAACGAUUCUUCUUCAAAAAGGAGAUUUAAAACCCAGAACGCAUUGAGCAUGAUGACCACGCUUAAUGCUGAUGGUGCAGAAAGACAAGACAGAAUGGCUCUUCUCUGGCAGUUGUUUAACGGUGGAAGGACAUGUGAGGAGACAGUAAGAAGAUUGGUCAUCUACAAGAAAAAGCGAGGUCUCACCAGGAACUGAAUUUUCUAGCACCUUGAUCUUGGACUUUCAGCCUCCAGAAUGGUGACAGAAUACAUUUAUGUUGCUGAAACCUCCCAGUCAGUGGUACUUAUUAUGACAGUCUAAGCAGACUAAUAUAACAGACCACCCUACAUUGUGUUAUCAGAAUUAUAUGCAUACAACAAUAAACUCAUCUCAUGCUUUAAAAAUCUUCAAGGUCCCCCAUUGACUUGUAAGUCCAAACUCUUUAGCUUGGAACCUGAGGCCAUCCUCCGUGUCACUCUUGUAGCAGCCUGCCCAGGCUGCAGUCCUUUACCACCUUGUUUUUAGCAAACAUUCAGCGAUUUUGCUGUCCUCAAGACACAUCUGGCAUUUUCUGAAGAUGCAGUGAAGAAGGGCGGUGCCUUGGGGGGCGGGGGGCACAUGAGUUGCAUGUUAGGGGACAGCAGGAUGUGACGGAGAGGAGCCAUGUUGCAGACACGGUUAUUUCCUGCCUUUCUUCCUUGUCAACAGUCCUCACUGAGUUUGGGGGACAUGAUAGGCCCAGGUGCUGAGUGAAUACUAAUGCAUAAGCUAGGAGUUAGCAAGCUUGUUUCAUAAAGGGCCAGGUGAAGGUAAACAUUUUAGGCUUUAUGGGCCAUCUGGUCUUUGUUACAGCUCAGCCUUUCUAGCAUGAAAGAGGUCAUACGUCCUACAUAAACAAAUGAGCAUGGCUGUGUUCCAAUAAAACUUUAUUUCUAAUAGCCAGUGGGUUAGAUUUGGCCUGUGGGCCAUGGUUUUUCAGCCAGUUCCCGAUGUGCCAAUCCCUGAGCACUGACAUUGUUGAUCUGAGUCAAAUCUGGAACUGCUUUCAGAUUUUCCUGUGAUAUGAAAGCGGGAAAAUUGCAUUUUUUAAAAGUCUUGCUGUUGAAAUUGUAGGUUUUAAACCAAUAGAAUCAGCACCACCUGGGAGCUUGUUAGGAAUGCAGAAUCUGGGCCUGGGUGGCUCAGUCGGUUAAGUGUCCAGCUUCAGCUCAGGUCAUGAUCUCAUGCCUCAUGGGUUUGAUAUCCACAUUGGGCUGUGCGCUGACAGCGCAGAGCCUGGAACCUGCUUUGGAUUCUGUGUCUCCCUCUCUCUCUCUGCUCCUCCCCCACUUGUGCCCUGUCUCACACACUCGCUCUCUCUCUCAAAAACAAAUAAACUUAAAAAAAAUGCAGAAUCUCAGGCCUCACUUCAGACCUCCUAAAUCAGAAUGUGCAUUUUAAUAAGAAGCUCUGGUGAUUGGAAGAUACAUCACAGCUUGAGAAGCACUGGUUGAAGCCACUGUUGAUGGAACGUUCUAUUCCUUGCAGCUGAAAGCAUUCCUAACUUACACCAACAAGCAGGAACCACAUCAUGAACAAUCUUAUAUACUUUGCUAAGGACUUUGAUGUUUUAAGCAGGGAGUGAGAGGAUACAUUUUUUGGGCAUAGGUCUUCUUUCUUACGGAACAAUGAACUCCUAAAAGAUACAGCGUGUACCAAAGAAACAACUCCUGUAACUGGUUCUACGCUACAAAGCCCACCAAGUAGGCCCUCCACCACUGGCGCACCGUCUGAUGGAAUUCAAAAGCAGUUUCUUCUGUAAGACCUGUUCUCCUGUCUAUAACCCACUGCUCUGGGACCUGGAAGGAUGCUCUGCUUCUGGUAUAUUCUUAGGGCUCAAAAGUGGCUGUGGGCUGUAACUCUGGGAUUACAGUUUGGAACCUGAGUCUGUGACCUGCAGUUAUUUACAUUCAACACUGCCACCACUCAGCUUGGUUCAUUUACUCUCUGAAUGUGUACUCACCUCUUCCCUAAGACUAUAAGCUACUUCACUGGAGGCUAUCAUAUUUUCGGAUUUUUGCAUUCCUUCCACAAGUGAAAAAUGAGAGUCAAAGAUCUAAAUAUUAUCAACUCUUCUGCAAGCUAAGUCUUAUUUAUAUUCUUUAUGUUGAAGCUCCAGCACAACCCAGGAAUUCUUUGAUAAAGAAUUAAGUACAAACAUUUGCUUUUAGGGCUGCCCCAUUUAUCAAGUCACUACAUCCUCCUGUGGUUUGUUUAUGAAGUGCUACAAUCCAAACACACACCACCUACAGCCCACUUGCACAGUAUGUGUGCCUGUGCUAACACGUGAAUAGCACAUCAUAGUCAGAUUUGUAUAAACAGCACCUCGCUUCAUCCACAAAAGACCCUAGGAAUGGGUAAAUUAAUAUCCCCAUAUUACCGAUAACGAAACUGAGGUACAAAGUAUGGAUGUACCUAGUGUAAGAUCACACAGCUAGAAAUCUGGUGGCAGUAGGAGAGGGGUGAGAAUCCAAACCCAGAGUCUGUGCUCUGAACUGCUAAGCAUUGUUCCCAUGAACAGAGCUCUGGUAAGUCAAAGGCCAACGUCUCAUUGCCUUAUUUUCUUUCCACCUGCAGGCAUCUUCAGCUAGGAUUUACAUGUGAUAAAUAAUUUAUCCUAAGCCCAGAGACAAUGAAAAUAAAGUGUUAGAGCCACUGACUCCACGGUCAAGUUCGGUGAAUGACAAUG